rnacentral:rRNA from 1 species
UAGGGAAUCUUCGGCAAUGGGGGCAACCCUGACCGAGCAACGCCGCGUGAGUGAAGAAGGUUUUCGGAUCGUAAAGCUCUGUUGUAAGAGAAGAACGUGUGUGAGAGUGGAAAGUUCACACAGUGACGGUAACUUACCAGAAAGGGACGGCUAACUACGUGCCAGCAGCCGCGGUAAUACGUAGGUCCCGAGCGUUGUCCGGAUUUAUUGGGCGUAAAGCGAGCGCAGGCGGUUUAAUAAGUCUGAAGUUAAAGGCAGUGGCUUAACCAUUGUUCGCUUUGGAAGCUGUUAAACUUGAGUGCAGAAGGGGAGAGUGGAAUUCCAUGUGUAGCGGUGAAAUGCGUAGAUAUGUGGAGGAACACCGGUGGCGAAGGCGGCUCUCUGGUCUGUAACUGACGCUGAGGCUCGAAAGCGUGGGGAGCAAACAGG